rnacentral:rRNA from 1 species
ACUCCUACGGGAGGCAGCAGUGGGGAAUCUUAGACAAUGGGGGAAACCCUGAUCUAGCCAUGCCGCGUGAGCGAUGAAGGCCUUAGGGUUGUAAAGCUCUUUCGCUGGGGAAGAUAAUGACGGUACCCAGUAAAGAAGCCCCGGCUAACUCCGUGCCAGCAGCCGCGGUAAUACGGAGGGGGCUAGCGUUGUUCGGAAUUACUGGGCGUAAAGCGCGCGUAGGCGGAUUGGAAAGUUGGGGGUGAAAUCCCGGGGCUCAACCCCGGAACUGCCUCCAAAACUAUCAGUCUGGAGUUCGAGAGAGGUGAGUGGAAUUGCGAGUGUAGAGGUGAAAUUCGUAGAUAUUCGCAGGAACACCAGUGGCGAAGGCGGCUCACUGGCUCGAUACUGACGCUGAGGUGCGAAAGUGUGGGGAGCAAACAGGAUUAGAAACCCCAGUAGUCC